UACGAGGGGGGCAAGCGUUGUUCGGAAUCACUGGGCUUAAAGGGCGCGUAGGCGGGUUGCCAAGUCCGGGGUGAAAGCCUCCAGCUUAACUGGAGAAGUGCCUUGGAUACUGGUGAUCUCGAGGGAGGUAGGGGCAUGUGGAACUUCCGGUGGAGCGGUGAAAUGCGUAGAUAUCGGAAGGAACGCCGGUGGCGAAAGCGACGUGCUGGACCUCUUCUGACGCUGAGGCGCGAAAGCUAGGGGAGCAAACGGG
rnacentral:rRNA from 1 species